CAGCAGCAGCCACGGGAAUACCAGCACCUCGAGUGGUCAGGAGGUUUAUUGGGCCUAAAGCAUCCGUAGCCGGUUGCAUAAGUUUUCGGUUAAAUCUAUGCGCUUAACGUAUAGGCCGCCGAAAAUACUGUGUAGCUAGGGAGUGGGAGAGGUACACGGUACUCGAUAGGAAGGGGUAAAAUCCUUUGAUCUAUUGAUGACCACCUGUGGCGAAGGCGGUGUACCAGAACACGUUCGACGGUGAGGGAUGAAAGCUGGGGGAGCAAACCGGAUUAGAUACCCGCGUAGUCCCUGUCUCUUAUAA
rnacentral:rRNA from 1 species